GCGGGAAUAGCUCAGUUGGUAGAGCACGACCUUGCCAAGGUCGGGGUUGCGAGUUCGAGUCUCGUUUCCCGCUCCA
rnacentral:tRNA from 7 species